GAUGAACGCUGGCGGCGUGCCUAAUACAUGCAAGUCGAGCGAACAGACGAGGAGCUUGCUCCUCUGACGUUAGCGGCGGACGGGUGAGUAACACGUGGAUAACCUACCUAUAAGACUGGGAUAACUUCGGGAAACCGGAGCUAAUACCGGAUAAUAUAUUGAACCGCAUGGUUCAAUAGUGAAAGACGGUUUUGCUGUCACUUAUAGAUGGAUCCGCGCCGCAUUAGCUAGUUGGUAAGGUAACGGCUUACCAAGGCAACGAUGCGUAGCCGACCUGAGAGGGUGAUCGGCCACACUGGAACUGAGACACGGUCCAGACUCCUACGGGAGGCAGCAGUAGGGAAUCUUCCGCAAUGGGCGAAAGCCUGAUGGAGCAACGCCGCGUGAGUGAUGAAGGUCUUCGGAUCGUAAAGCUCUGUUAUUAGGGAAGAACAAAUGUGUAAGUAACUAUGAACGUCUUGACGGUACCUAAUCAGAAAGCCACGGCUAACUACGUG
rnacentral:rRNA from 1 species